CCUGGUCCAUGGACUUGAAGAAGAACUUGUAGCUGUGCACGGGCCGGUUGCUGAGGACAUUUUUGAAAUCGGCCAGCGUGACUUUCUCCGGCGGCACGGGCAGCUUCACCAGGGACUUCAGAGUUUUUACUGGAGAAUCGCUAAAACAAUUCUUGAACAUCAGGUAGAACAUGUGACCUUAAUCCUCCAUGGGAAAACAACUGAACCCUCCGUUCCUGGGCAAAAGUUUUGCAGCAAUACUUCACACAAUGUUUGUGUGAAGAGAUGGGACAAAAGGGAAACCAAGCUCUGAACAGCCACCCAGAGGUUUCCUAGGUGGUUUUUACCCACCUGCAAGGAUUUAUCUGUAAAAGAACAAAAUUUCACUUCGAGGAUUGUUGGCAAGAUUGGCAUGGAUGCAGAAGAUGAACUAAACAUGGAAAUGAUCCCAGAACAGAAAGAGAAGCAGAGAAAUGUCACUGCAACCACACAGAGCUCAAAAUGGAGAGGCUGUGGGCUGGCUCCCAGCUGGGAAAUGUGAGCAGGAUCCAAUCCAAGACAGUUUAAACUUCUCCUGGAUCUGGUCUGGAAGAUCUGCAAGGGUUUUUUUUCCCGUUUAUUCUCCCUCUGUGUGCAGUGGACCUUGGGCAGUCACUGACAAGGAAAUGGAGACAUUAAACACUAGAGGGAAGCAAAAGACUUUGCAGUAACCUCUGCAAAGCUCCCUGGGGCUGUCCCUGGACCUAAACACAAAUCUGAGGAAAAUGAGAAAUAACAGGAGGUAUUUGCAUCCUCCAAGCCCCACUUAAGUUAGAAAUACACGUUAAGGAGAAAUACUGCCCCACAGGGAGGGGAAAAGAGGACAGAGGACAACACUCGUGUGGGUUUUCAAACACUUCCAUGGAAUGCAGACCCUAUAAAUGAUAAAUUCUUUGGAUUGAUCCCAGCUCCUCCUCAUCCUGACUCAAUCUCUUUUCUUUCCUCUGCUUUUCCUACCUCUCCUUAGCAGCUGCAGCCCCUUUUUUUUAAAAAGGGGAAAGUCACACUUGAACAAAUUCCCUACAGGAACUGUCUGCAGAGCAGCUGAUCUCCUGAGGCCACAUACAGACCUCUAGGAAAUUGGAGUUUUUUGCUUAGAAAUGUUUACUUGGGUCUUUAUCCUCCUUGUCUCUCGCUGGUGCUUCUUCCCCUCAGGAAUUUGUUCUGUUGAUGACUUACAAGUUCCUCUCCCCUGGUAAAACUCUCCCCAGACUGGGAGGCAGAAAGGAGACUGGGACAAACUGGACUUCACUUCAGCCAAGUGGAAGACAAUAAAAAUAUUUGUUUCAGUGGUC